AGAGUUUGAUCCUGGCUCAGAUUGAACGCUGGCGGCAUGCUUUACACAUGCAAGUCGAACGGCAGCACGGGGGGGUAACCCUCUGGUGGCGAGUGGCGGAACGGGUGAGUAAUGCAUCGGAACGCGUCCUGUAAUGGGGGAUAACCUGGCGAAAGUCAGGCUAAUACCGCAUACGUCCUGAGGGAGAAAGCGGGGGAUUGGCAACGACCUCGUGUUAUAGGAGCGGCCGAUGUCGGAUUAGCUAGUUGGUGGGGUAAAGGCCUACCAAGGCGACGAUCCGUAGCGGGUCUGAGAGGACGGCCCGCCACACUGGGACUGAGACACGGCCCAGACUCCUACGGGAGGCAGCAGUGGGGAAUUUUGGACAAUGGGGGCAACCCUGAUCCAGCCAUGCCGCGUGAGUGAAGAAGGCCUUCGGGUUGUAAAGCUCUUUCGGCCGGGAAGAAAUCGCUCAAGCUAAUACCUUGGGUGGAUGACGGUACCGGAAGAAGAAGCACCGG
rnacentral:rRNA from 1 species